rnacentral:rRNA from 1 species
ACGGGUGAGUAAUGCCUAGGAAAUUGCCCUGAUGUGGGGGAUAACCAUUGGAAACGAUGGCUAAUACCGCAUAAUGCCUACGGGCCAAAGAGGGGGACCUUCGGGCCUCUCGCGUCAGGAUAUGCCUAGGUGGGAUUAGCUAGUUGGUGAGGUAAGGGCUCACCAAGGCGACGAUCCCUAGCUGGUCUGAGAGGAUGAUCAGCCACACUGGAACUGAGACACGGUCCAGACUCCUACGGGAGGCAGCAGUGGGGAAUAUUGCACAAUGGGCGCAAGCCUGAUGCAGCCAUGCCGCGUGUGUGAAGAAGGCCUUCGGGUUGUAAAGCACUUUCAGUCGUGAGGAAGGUAGUGUAGUUAAUAGCUGCAUUAUUUGACGUUAGCGACAGAAGAAGCACCGGCUAACUCCGUGCCAGCAGCCGCGGUAAUACGGAGGGUGCGAGCGUUAAUCGGAAUUACUGGGCGUAAAGCGCAUGCAGGUGGUUUGUUAAGUCAGAUGUGAA